rnacentral:rRNA from 1 species
CCUACGGGUGGCAGCAGUGAGGAAUAUUGGUCAAUGGGCGCAAGCCUGAACCAGCCAAGUCGCGUGAGGGAUGACGGUCCUAUGGAUUGUAAACCUCUUUUGUCGGGGAGCAAGGCCCACCACGUGUGGCGGGAAGGAGAGUACCCGCAGAAAAAGCAUCGGCUAACUCCGUGCCAGCAGCCGCGGUAAGACGGAGGAUGCGAGCGUUAUCCGGAUUUAUUGGGUUUAAGGGGUGCGUAGGCGGAAGGUUAAGUCAGCGGUCAAAUGUCGGUGCUCAACACCGGCCUGCCGUUGAAACUGGUCGUCUUGAGUGAGCGAGAAGUAUGCGGAAUGCGUGGUGUAGCGGUGAAAUGCAUAGAUAUCACGCAGAACUCCGAUUGCGAAGGCAGCAUACCGGCGCUCAACUGACGCUGAGGCACGAAAGCGUGGGGAUCGAACAGGAUUAGAUACCCUUGUAGUC